GAUGAACGCUAGCGGCAGGCUUAAUACAUGCAAGUCGAGGGGCAGCACGGUUAGCAAUAACUGGUGGCGACCGGCGCACGGGUGCGUAACACGUAUACAAUCUACCUUAAACAGGGGGAUAGUCUUUCGAAAGAGAGAUUAAUACCCCGUAAUAAAUUGAACGGCAUCGUUUGAUUUUGAAAGCUCCGGCGGUUUGAGAUGAGUAUGCGUCUGAUUAGCUAGUUGGUGAGGUAACGGCUCACCAAGGCGACGAUCAGUAGGGGAUCUGAGAGGACUAACCCCCACACUGGUACUGAGACACGGACCAGACUCCUACGGGAGGCAGCAGUAAGGAAUAUUGGUCAAUGGAGGCAACUCUGAACCAGCCAUGCCGCGUGCAGGAUGACGGCCCUAUGGGUGUAAACUGCUUUUAUACAAGAGAAAACCCUGGUACGUGUACCAGGUUGAUAGUAUUGUAAGAAUAAGCAUCGGCUAACUCGUGCCAGCAGCC
rnacentral:rRNA from 1 species